rnacentral:rRNA from 1 species
CACGUAGGGGGCGAGCGUUGUCCGGAUUUAUUGGGCGUAAAGAGCUCGUAGGCGGCCCAGUAAGUCAGGUGUGAAAACUCCAGGCUCAACCUGGAGACGCCACCUGAUACUGCUGUGGCUAGAGUCCGGUAGGGGAGCAUGGAAUUCCUGGUGUAGCGGUGAAAUGCGCAGAUAUCAGGAGGAACACCAGUGGCGAAGGCGGUGCUCUGGGCCGGAACUGACGCUGAGGCGCGAAAGCGUGGGGAGCAAACAGG